rnacentral:rRNA from 1 species
GAUGAACGCUAGCUACAGGCUUAACACAUGCAAGUCGAGGGGCAGCAUGAACUUAGCUUGCUAAGUUUGAUGGCGACCGGCGCACGGGUGAGUAACACGUAUCCAACCUGCCGAUGACUCGGGGAUAGCCUUUCGAAAGAAAGAUUAAUACCCGAUGGCAUAGUUCUUCCGCAUGGUAGAACUAUUAAAGAAUUUCGGUCAUCGAUGGGGAUGCGUUCCAUUAGGUUGUUGGCGGGGUAACGGCCCGCCAAGCCUUCGAUGGAUAGGGGUUCUGAGAGGAAGGUCCCCCACAUUGGAACUGAGACACGGUCCAAACUCCUACGGGAGGCAGCAGUGAGGAAUAUUGGUCAAUGGACGAGAGUCUGAACCAGCCAAGUAGCGUGAAGGAUGACUGCCCUAUGGGUUGUAAACUUCUUUUAUACGGGAAUAAAGUGAGGCACGUGUGCCUUUUUGUAUGUACCGUAUGAAUAAG